UUAAUGGCAAAUAUUUCUCUCUCAGACACCGUACUGAAUAGAUUUCCCUCCUUGGACAGGCCGCGCAUGCGCCAGAACUGCCUCGGGAGCGCGUGCGGGCUCUUGGGUCGGAGGAUGUGCGCAGCCGCCGGACACAUUAAAGACCUGCAGAGACACCGCCCGCCCGGAGAGGGCGCUGUGGCUCAACUCGCAUCCCCCUCCCCUCCCUCUCCCCCUUGAAUCAGGAACUCAGUCCGGCUCCCGGCGCCUUCUGGGACUUGUAGUUCGCGGCCUCGGGGUGCGCAGGCGCAAUGCCGAGCCGUCCUGGGCGCGCGUCCGGGGCGGCGGCGGCGGCCUCUGCCUGCCCAGAAACCUGCUUCUUCCCCUCCGAGAGGAGAGGAUGGCUGAGCACCUGCCCCCCUGGCCCCAGGUGAGUGGGGACUUCCUCCUCCCCCAGGAGGCGUCCAUGUGUCCAGAGGAAAGGCAGCCCCCUUGCUAUGCCGGGGCCUAGGGGGACCUCCCUGUGAGCGUCUGCGUCCAGGUCCUCACGCUUCUCGUAAGUGUAGCAAAGACGCCCACUGCAUCCAGCAGGCAUCUCUCCAGACAGGGGAGCUGUGCCUCCUUCCUAGGGCUGGGGGCAUCCGCGCAGCCUGAGACCCCACACUUUCGCCUAUAGAGCCAGAGGGGCCACCCCGGAAGGUGCCAUCCUCUUUACUUAAAUUUUCUUUAAAUUGUGGUGAAAUACACGUAACAUAAAAUGUACCAUCUUAACCGUUUUUCAGGGCCCAGCUCAGCGGCAUGAAGCACAUUCACGUUGCUGUGCAACCAUCCCCUCCAUCCGUCUCCAGAACUUUCCAUCUCCCCAAACUGCAGCUCUGUCCCCAUUAAACACUGACUCCCACCCCUCCCCCAGCCCCUGGCCCCCCAUCCACUUUCUGUCUCUGUGGAUGUGGCUCCUCUGGGGACCUCCUGUGAGUGGACCACACAGUGUGUGUCCCUCUGUGUCUGGCUCACGUCCCUGAGCAUCACGUCCUCCAGGUCCAUCCACGUUGUAGCAGGCGUCAGGAUCUCCUUCCUUUUUAAGGCUGGAGACGACUGUGUUUAAUAGUGAAACUGCUUUCCUCGGUAAGGUGUGUGUAUCAGGAGAAAGCUGAGUGAAGCAGAGGCAGCCAUCAGAUACUUGGGACAUCAGAUGCGUCAGAAGUGGGUGACGGGGUCCCACCCCCCUACCUCGAGGCUUUGGGUGGCAGCCGCAAGUUUCGGAAGGCAGUUGGUCUCUGUGUCAGAAAUAUAGAGCU
rnacentral:lncRNA from 1 species